ACGGGUGCGUAACACGUGAACAACCUGCCCUCGUGUGGGGGAUAGCCGGGCUAACGCCCGGGCAAUACCGCAUACGUUCCCUUGGAGGAGUCUCUGGGGGAGGAAAGCUCCGGCGCACGGGGAGGGGUUCGCGGCCUAUCAGCUAGUUGGCGGGGUAAUGGCCCACCAAGGCGACGACGGGUAGCUGGUCUGAGAGGAUGGCCAGCCACAUUGGGACUGAGAGACGGCCCAGACUCCUACGGGAGGCAGCAGUGGGGAAUCUUGCGCAAUGGUCUAACGACUGACGCAGCGACGCCGCGUGUGGGAGGACGCCUUUCGGGGUGUAAACCACUGUUGCCCGGGACGAACAGCCUUUUUCGAGAGGUCUGACGGUACCGGGUGAGGAAGCACCGGCUAACUCCGUGCCAGCAGCCGCGGUAAUACGGAGGGUGCGAGCGUUGUCCGGAAUCAUUGGGCGUAAAGGGCGCGUAGGUGGCCCAGUCAGCGUGCGGUGAAAGCUCGGGGCUCAACCCCGAGUCGGCCGUGCGAACUACUGGGCUGGAGCACUGUAGAGGCAGGCGGAAUUCCGGGUGUAGCGGUGGAAUGCGUAGA
rnacentral:rRNA from 1 species